AAGUAGUAGUAAUAAACAAAACUAAUAUAGUUUGGCGGCAGAUUCAAAAAUCAAAGGAACUCGUGUUAUAAUUCGACAAUCCUCGUUAAAUUUCACUUAUUUUUAAAGUCUAUAUACCGCCGUAUUAGACCUAAUCCAAAAAUUUCGCUCAAUUAAUUCACCCCUAAUUCAGGUCAAGGUGUAACCUACAAAAAAGUAUACAUAAGUUACUAUAAAAACUAUUUAAUGAAUUAUAUACAAAUUAAAAAGAAAAUAGGAUUUGAUUGUAAUAUACCCAUAAAAACGACCUAUGAAAAAUUCUUUCUGUGC
rnacentral:rRNA from 1 species